GUCACCAGUGGGUUCAUAGAUGGCAUUUUCAGAACAGAGUCUCAGCUGGGCACAACCAGAGCUCCCAUUUGGGCUGGCAUGGUGAUGGGAGUCCCAGGCGUGCUGGCUUUGUUCUCCUCGCAGAGGAAGAAUCCAGUUCUUCUCCUUCACACUGAACUAUGGUGAAGAGGAGGAGCUGAGUUCUGCCCCAGUCCAUGUUAUCCAUACU